UUUUUGUUCUUCAGCACACUACACUUGCUCUGCCAUUGAAUUUUCCAAAUAAUUUUGUUUUUCUUCUUCAAUUGUAUUGAAAAUUUACAGUAUGAUUUGUUCACAGUAGCAUUUACUGCAUUCUCUUUGCAGCCAUGGAAGUCACUUCAGUUCAACCUCACUUUUUCAAACCCCUUCUCCCAGGUUUCAAGAAUAGUCUGAAA
rnacentral:misc_RNA from 1 species